rnacentral:rRNA from 1 species
GACGAACGCUGGCGGCGUGCUUAACACAUGCAAGUCGAACGGAAAGGCCCUGCUUUUGUGGGGUGCUCGAGUGGCGAACGGGUGAGUAACACGUGAGUAACCUGCCCUUGACUUUGGGAUAACUUCAGGAAACUGGGGCUAAUACCGGAUAGGAGCUCCUGCUGCAUGGUGGGGGUUGGAAAGUUUCGGCGGUUGGGGAUGGACGCGCGGCUUAUCAGCUUGUUGGUGGGGUAGUGGCUUACCAAGGCUUUGACGGGUAGCCGGCCUGAGAGGGUGACCGGCCACAUUGGGACUGAGAGAGGGACCAGACUCCUACGGGAGGCAGCAGGGGGGAAUAUUGCACAAGGGGCGGAAGCGUGAUGCAGAAACGCCGCGUGCGGGAUGACGGCCUGCGGGUUGUAAACCGCUUUCGCCUGUGACGAAGCGGGAGUGACGGUAAUGGGUAAAGAAGCACCGGCUAACUACGUG